UCCUUCAAUUUUUUUGUCUGCUUUUCAGUUCUUUGCUUUCUGGAGCACAGGGUGGUUAUGUAAUUGCAACUUCAUAUACUUAGUUAGCUUGUUGUACUAUUUUGUGUUUCCUCUCUUUCCAUUUUUGGGUUUGAGUCUGUUUGCCUGUGUUGUAUUGUCAUGGGGAACUUUGCUUUUGUACAACUUUACCCAUUUCAUGUCUCAG
rnacentral:lncRNA from 1 species